GUGCGGAAAAUAAAUAAAAUAAAAGCAAUGCGGGAAAUAAAUAAAAUAAAAGCGAUGCGGGAAAUAAAUAAAAUAAAAGCGAUAAUUAAGAACCUGCUCCAAACGGAGGCUUCGAUUCUGGUACAAGAAUAAACCUCUGACUCCUGAAGCUAAAGACGACAGCGACUCGAAGUGACCCAACUCAAUCUCACAAAGAUGCGAUAACCC
rnacentral:lncRNA from 1 species